CCCUCCCUGCGCUUCCCUAGUUGAGCGUGGGUUUUGCGGGUCUGUCUCAGAGCACCAGCCUGGUGGUUCCCUCCACGGAAUGUUGGAUUUGUACAUGGAAAGACCAAAACCGGGUGUGCAGCGGGGCCCAGCGCCUGGUUGGCCUGCGGAAAGCACCUCUCUCCAACAAGCUACCUGGCAUGGAGACUAACUGGCACUUACCCCUACAUGGAUAGGAAAUUAAUUUUGAUUAAAAGCUCAUGGAGGUCAGGUUCUGUACAAUGCCAGCAGCAGAUGGAGGCGUAAUGAUCCAAGGGAGUUCAGUUUGGUUGAAGUAGCAUAGUGAUUCUUUUCCCUACAUCGACUUUCGAAGAAGUUGUUUGGUUUUGGCAAAAUGACACUGGAC
rnacentral:lncRNA from 1 species